UUUUUUUUUUUUUUUUUUUGAGACAGGGUCUUUAGCUCUGUGGCCAUCAUGGAACUCAAUAGGUAGACUAGGCUGACCUCAAGAUGUCUGCCUCUUGAGUGUUGCAUUAAAGGCCUGUGCCACCAUGUCAGGCUCCAUUAUAGAAACACACUACUAUCAGAAGGAUGAUAGGCUGAGGCCCAUUUUUUAACCCUUUGAAAAAAAUUCUGGCUGGGCAGUGGUGACACUGCCUUUAAUCCCAGCACUUGGGAGACAGGCAGGUGGAUUUCUGAGUUCAAGGCCAGCUGGGUCUAUAGAGUAAGUUCCAGGACAGCCAGAGCUAUACAGAGAAACAAAAAAAAAACAAGGGUUUAUUGGGGAGGGAAGGGAAGUACUUAUUUUGAAUAAGGUUUUAUUGUGUAUCCCUGAUUGUCUUUGAAAUUAAUUUGCUUCAACUCGAAGUGCUGAGACUGCAAGUAUGUACAACCACAGUACUCUUAGGUUCUAACUGAAUUCUCACCCAUUAUUUUUCAAAUACGGCCUUUCAGUUUUAUUCUCUACUGGACUCUUAGAUAACCAGAUACUGGCAUUGAAACUAGUUUUUUUCUCUUUGAAUAUUAAUUUGGAUACAUUCUAUUGUUUUGGAUUCUAGUUCACUGAUUCUUCUGUUAGGCCCUUUAGUGAAGCUUUCAGGUGUCUUUAGUUUUUUUUUAAUUUGUGUGUGUGGGUAUAGUGUCUGUAUUUCUCCAUGUGCAUGCAAUGCCACAGGAGGCCAGAAGAGGGUGGAUCUUCCAACCUUUUUUUUUUUUUUAAAGAUUUUUAUUUUAUGUAUAUGAGUACACUGUAGCUGUCUUCAGACACACCAGAAGAGGGCAUAGAAUCCCAUUACAGAUUAUUGAGAGCCACCAUGUGAUUACUGGGGAUUGAACUCAUGACCUCUGAAAGAGCAGUCAGUGCUCUGAACUACUGAGCCAUCUCACCAGCCGCCUUCAAGUUCUUGUGAACCACCAUGUGGGUACUGUGAAUCAAACUUGUGUUUUCUGGACUCUUAACAGCUGAGUCAUCUCUCUAGCCCUUCAAGUGUUUCCUUUCUCUUCUAGGUUUCCAGUUUAUGAAGCCCCCAUUUUGUCAUUUAAAUUCUUUUCCUGCAAAUUCCUAUACAUCUACAAUCAUUGAAGUCAUUUGUAAAUUUUUUUAUGUGCAUUAGUAUUUGGUCUUUAUGUGUGUGAGGAGUCAGACCCACCAUGUUACAAACAGUUGUGAGCUGCUAUGUGGGUGCUGGGAAUUGAACUUGGGUCCCCUGGAAGAGUGACCAGUGCCCUUAAGUCGCCCCUUAUUUGUAGUUUUAACAGGAGUUAUGGUUGAGUACUUGUUAGGAUUAUGAAGAGUUGUUUCUCUUUCAUUGCAUGUCUAAACUGGACAUUGACCCAUAUUUAGAGGCCAGCCAUGUGCUAAUUCAAGUACAUUUUGUACUGGCAUUCUUAAGUAGCUAGCAAAAUCUGAGUUUCUGUUUUUCAUAGAAUAUGAUGAGAUUUACUUUAAAGCCAGGUAAUGUGUUUAUCCUGAGAAUACCAGCUGUGUAUUUUCUUGAGCCAACCAAAUUGAAAGUGAGGAGUUUCAGUGAUUAAACACUGGCUGUUUACAUGCAGAGAACCCCAGUUCACUUCCCAGCAUCCAGAUGCUGCUUGACUGUAACUAGUUCCAGGGACCCAAGGUCCUUUUCUGCUUUUUGGGCACUUUCUUGGGUGCUAGCAAAACACCCAUAUACAUAAAAAUGAAUAGGAAAAUGAAAAAUUUAGGAAAAGUUGGAAGCGAUUUUAUGUCAAAUUUACUGUUCCUGUUCAUGGUCCCCCCCAAACUUCCAGACUCACUCCUCAGUACCCCUCUGUUGCCCAGAAAUCCGGCUAAUCUUGGCACACCUGUAGCGCGCCAGACUAAACACUGACUUUGAGAGUAUGUGCCUCAGUUCUAUCUGGUAAUUAUUUUUAUGGUGCUUGGAAUUAGACCAGGACCUUGGUUUGUACAUAUAAUUAGGUGAUUGCAGUUUUUCUUGACUUUGGUUUUUUUGUUUUUUUCCUUUACAUUUCUGUCAGAUUUCUGUUUUUUUGAGACAGGGUCUCUCUCACUAUGUAGCUUUGGUUAUCCUAGAACUUACUAUUUAGACCAGCUGGCCUUUAAUUCCCAGAGGUUCAUUCACCUCUGCCUUCUGAGUGCUGGCAUCAAAGAGAGUGGAUUCGUAGCUGUUAAUAUCAGCUAUAAACUUGAUCAGAUUGAUAAGUGUCUAGGGCACUAGGGAAUUACUCUACAUGUUGCUAUAACAGAAUACCUGACCAAAGCAAUUUAAAGAAAAGGGGUUUAUUUUGAUUCACAGUUCCAGAAUAUAGUCCAUCAUGGCAGGGACAAGGACGACAUGAUGCCAGAAGCUUGAAGCAGCUGGUCACAUUGCAUCUAUAGUUAGAAAAAGUUGAUGGAUGCUUGUAUUCAGCUAGCUUUCCUUUCCAUGCAGACUAGGACUCCAACCUAGGGAUGGUUUUACAUACCUGAGGUAAUUCAAGAUAAUCUCAUAGGCAUAGCCAGAAGUUAACCUGAUCUAGAUAAUUUCCUACAGAUAUGCUUAGAAGCGUGUCUAUUUCCUUCUAGAUCCAGUUCAGUUGACAAUGUGGUUUGGCAUACUCUAGGGUGUGUGUGUGAGUAUUUCCAGAAAGGACUAGCUGAACUACAAACACUCACCCUAAGCCAUGAAAUCUGGGGCAUGGUGGCUGGGAUUUGAACUCAGGACCUUUGCUGAGCCAUCCACCAGCCCCAAGUUUCUCUGUGUAGCCCUGGCUGUCCUGGAACUCACUCUGUAGACCAGGCUCAGAGAUCUGCCUGUUUCUGCCUCCCAAGUGCUGGGAUUAAAGGUGUGCGCCGCCACCGCCUGGUAAAGCAAUUUUGAUAAUCUUUUGUCUCUAUUCUAUCAUAACACUCCCAGUGUCUAAUCAUUUGGAAGGGUGCCAUCUCUAGUUUCUUUUCCCAUAUCAAAGAAAGUGCAAAUUUUUUAGGGGCAUCAUAAUGGUAACUUGGACAUUAAUUAGGAAGAAACUGCAUUUGUUGGUUAAAAAUAUCUGUAAAGGGGGCCAGUGAGUUCAAUUAGUAAAGGUGCCUGCCACC
rnacentral:lncRNA from 1 species